AAGUGCAAUCAUACCAUCACUAAUGCACUGGAACCUAUCAGAACUCUGCAGUUAAGCGUGCUUGGGCGAGAGAUGUUCUAGGAUGGGUCACCUCCUGGGAAGUCCUCGUGUUGUGCCUC
rfam:Lupinus angustifolius cultivar Tanjil contig_4178, whole genome shotgun sequence.